AAAUUUAAAAAAAAUUGUUUCAUUCUGAAGUAGAAUAGCCUCAUUUUAGUUACUAGUCGAAAACUAUCAUUGUCAUCUUGUUCAUAGGUCUCAAUUAAGCAACUACUCACCAAGGAUUAUGUAUUAUCAGGCUAAAGCAAAAUCUGGAAGCAGCUCCAAUUCUUAGCAAUUUUUUCUCAUGGAUUGACUGAAUUUUGAAACACAUGAACACUAGGAGUGCCACAAGCAUAGAUGGCGGGAAGUGAUUUGACGGAAAAGAUGACUAUGUUUUAAACAGUCCAAUGAUAGAAUGUCAUGUGGCAUUAUAUCAACCAUUAUGUAAAGUAUUUUGACACUAUAGCAUGGUGAUGGUUCUUUAUGACGUUAUUGAUUUCACUCGUCUUCACAAAAUUUUACCUAAUUGAUUCAGCCUCUGAUGUGCUAAAGUUCCAAGUUUUGUGAUUUCCUGUUUGUAUUCUUUUCUAUUGAGCAAUGAAACUUUUUUAACUGUUUCACUCAA